AGCCAUGAAAGAAACGCGGCAGACGGCUCAGUAACAUGUGGCUACCUGCCCUUAGGACGAAGAUAACCCCGGGAAACUGGGGCUAAUAUUUGAUAGGCGUGGACUCCUGGAAUGGAUCUACACUCAAAGGGUGCUUAGAUCAUGCUUUAAGCGUCGCCUAAGGAUGGAGCCGCAGCCGAUCAGGUUGUUGGCGAGGUAACGGCUCACCAAGCCUAUAACCGGUACGGGCCGCGGGAGCGGUAGCCCGGAGAUGGACACUGAGACAAGGGUCCAGGCCCUACGGGGCGCAGCAGUCGCGAAAACUCCGCAAUAUACGAAAGUGUGACGGGGCUAUCCCGAGUGCCGUCCGCUGAGGAUGGCUUUUCUCCAGUGUAAGGAGCUGGAGGAAUAAGGAGAGGGCAAGUCUGGUGUCGGCCGCCGCGGUAAUACCAGCUCUCCGAGUGGUAAGGAUGUUUAUUGGGCCUAAAGCGUCCGUAGCCGGUUCAGCAAGUCCUCCGUUAAAUCCAACGAUUCAAUCGUUGGACUGCGGGGGAUACUGUUGGACUAGGGGACGGGAGAGGCCGACGGUAUUCCCGGAGUAGGGGUGAAAUCCUAUAAUUCCGGGAGGACCACCAGUGGCGAAGGCUGUCGGCUAGAACGAGCUCGACGGUGAGGGACGAAAGCUGGGGGAGCGAACCGGAUUAGAUACCCGGGUAGUCCCAGCUGUAAACGAUG
rnacentral:rRNA from 1 species